UACGACGGGGGCUAGCGUUGUUCGGAAUUACUGGGCGUAAAGGGCGCGUAGGCGGCGUGUCAAGUCAGGCGUGAAAGCCCCGGGCUCAACCUGGGAACCGCGCUUGAGACUGGCAUGCUCGAGUUCGGGAGAGGAUGGUGGAAUUCCCAGUGUAGAGGUGAAAUUCGUAGAUAUUGGGAAGAACACCGAUGGCGAAGGCAGCCAUCUGGACCGACACUGACGCUGAGGCGCGAAAGCGUGGGGAGCAAACAGG
rnacentral:rRNA from 1 species